UACAGAGGGUGCGAGCGUUAAUCGGAUUUACUGGGCGUAAAGGGCGCGUAGGCGGCCACUGCAAGUCGGUUGUGAAAUCUCCGGGCUUAACCCGGAAAGGUCAACCGAUACUGCAGGGCUAGAGUGCAGAAGGGGCAACUGGAAUUCUCGGUGUAGCGGUGAAAUGCGUAGAUAUCGAGAGGAACACCUGCGGCGAAGGCGGGUUGCUGGGCUGACACUGACGCUGAAGCGCGAAAGCUAGGGGAGCGAACGGG
rnacentral:rRNA from 1 species